rnacentral:piRNA from 1 species
UACCACACAGGAACAGGAAAGGCCAGGCU